rnacentral:rRNA from 1 species
CCUACGGGGGGCUGCAGUGGGGAAUAUUGGACAAUGGGCGAAAGCCUGAUCCAGCCAUGCCGCGUGUGUGAAGAAGGCCUUCGGGUUGUAAAGCACUUUCAGUGGGGAAGAAAGCCUUGGGGCUAAUACCCUCGAGGAAGGACAUCACCCACAGAAGAAGCACCGGCUAACUCCGUGCCAGCAGCCGCGGUAAUACGGAGGGUGCGAGCGUUAAUCGGAAUUACUGGGCGUAAAGCGCGCGUAGGCGGUCUGAUAAGCCGGUUGUGAAAGCCCCGGGCUCAACCUGGGAACGGCAUCCGGAACUGUCAGGCUAGAGUGCAGGAGAGGAAGGUAGAAUUCCCGGUGUAGCGGUGAAAUGCGUAGAGAUCGGGAGGAAUACCAGUGGCGAGGGCGGCCUUCUGGACUGACACUGACGCUGAGGUGCGAAAGCGUGGGUAGCAAACAGGAUUAGAUACCCGGGUAGUC